AAAGGCUAUGGUAAAGAGGCAGGAAAGUCAUAAGUAGUUUUAAACGAUAUUCAAGACUUUGCAUAUUUUUUUCUUACAGGUGGGAACUGAUAUUGAGAAUGUUCUUCCUGGGCUAUUCUCAUGUGAAAGGAAACCAAACAGCAUAUUAAAACCAAAAUCCAUUCUCAUCAUCCUCUUCCACAUCCCAUCUCCCUUCCCAGGGCACCUCCUCUCUUUCCUUUACCUGUCAACAAACAGUUUGGCUCUGAUUACGUAGGACAAACAUUAAAGUCAGGAGCUGCGAGAGCAGUGAGAUGGAUGGGUGGGAUGUCCCCCCGCACCUCGGCGCUCUGUCUUGCUGCACGGGGCAGGGAACAGUCUGGGCUGAUUUCCUUUAGAUUUGAGCUGGCAGUAAAUUGGAAAACAUGAAUCAUCUUGACGCAGAUGCUCCUGAGAUGGAUUACCUGGCUUGGCAGCUUGUUCCUCUCUUUCCACAAGGCUUGCUUUCUUCUCUUCUUUCACUGAAACAUUUCAUUUCCCAGACACAGGAGGGUUCCCACUCCAUGCCCUGGCACGUCUGGGAGCCCCACGCUGCUUUCCAGCUGCUCCCAUGGCCAAGCUCUUUCCCGUCUUUUUCUCAUAGGAAUUGCCUCUUCUUUCAAGACGUGGGGGUGAGAGCUGAAGCUCCUGCUUGGGACAGAACUGCUGCUGCUCCUCACUAACAAGCUGCCACCUUCAGCAGUCCCUCUGAGGAACCCAAAGCUGGAAGCACGGUAACGCUCCAUAUUUUAUUCACCAGGCAGAGGGUUUCUCUCCCGCAGCAAUCUCUGCCGCUCCAGCCAAGGGCAGCAUGAGAUCAACGCUCGACUGCUGACUUGUGUGAUGCUCACAGCCCCUGCUCUGGCCCAGCACGGCUAAAUCACAGGUUAAAUACAUCCAGACACCUUUCCGCCUUAAAGAAUCCAGCACUUCACCCCACAAAUUAUGUGCAAAACAGGCAAAUAAGCGCCAGUGCCAUUUGCAGUGAUUGCAGCAAUCAAGAGUCCGGCUCAGACUUGCUCUCAGGGGCUGUAAAUCUUUAACUCCGCAGGCACAGCCCCCCGGUUGAUAACGAGUCAUUAGCCUUAAUUCCACCUCUUGCCCUCUUUUAAGAGGGUUCAUCUGGAGCCCCCCCAUAGCGAUACCAGUGGAACCAGUAAUCAUGGGGCAGCACAGGAGCAGCGCCUGAGCGAUGCACGGAGCGCCAGCAGCAUUGCUGCCCUUCGGCUCCUGCUCAGCCGCCGCCUUCCUCUCUGUCUCCUUUAUGUCUCCAGCUUAAGUUCUGCUGGAACUGAAUUUUUUUUCUUGAUGGGAGGAGAUUUAGAAGCAGAGAGAUAUCUGUGGAAGGAAGCAGCACCUUCCUGAAGGGUCUCAGGGGGAUGCAGGCACGUGGGAGCCAACCUCUCUCACUACUCGCAUCACCCAAGCCUUGACUUAGGACUUUCCCAGCUCUCCCCUGAAGCUGGAAUUCCCAGACAUUAUUUUUGCCAUUCCCUAGUGUUUCUCCCUCAACUAUGGGUCUCAGAAGCCCCAUCUGAGGAACAUCGGGUAGGACGCAGGUUUGCUUCUAUUGAUUAUUUUAAGAGCUGGUGAAUUUUUGAGAGCCACCUCGCUUCCUCUCCUCCUCUCCAUCCCUUUCUCCAUCUCCCUUUGAACAAAUCGUUGCUUUUGCGGCGUCCCGUUGUUUAAUUUUGCCGAGUGCUGAGUUUCAACCUCCCGUUAAUUGCUUUUGCCCGUCUUUGUGCAUUCCGUUAAAUGAGAAAGCGCCGCACAUAAAAUUUUAAUUUUGAAAGCCGCCUUGUUUGUUUUAUAUUGAAAUUACCCACGCCGCGCCGGCCUGCAGAAAGAGACGCUUUCUCAUUUCAUUAAAAACUCUUUGUGAUGAUAAAAAGCAGCAGAAACGAGAUAAAGAGUGGUGUUUCCUUAAAGACACAUGAAAGCAAGGGAGAUAAAUCCCAUGUAUUGCAGGGGAUCAAAUCCAAGGCAAGGCUGCAACGCGGCGAUACCAGGGAGGAGGCUGAGCUGUGACCAACAGUGUUGUGCGCCGAUAGCUCCUCUCCCAGGAUGGUGUGGGUUUUGCCUGGCCUGGUGGCCACCACCCACCCAUUGCUUCAGCCCCAGACCCACCACAAAGCGCUUAGAAGACCGGUGUCACCAGCCAGAAGCAGAAGUACUGGUGGAGAGACUGAUGUGAGGGCACCCAGUGAACCCUGUGGAGGGAUGGUGCCAUGAAACCAUCACCACGGCCUCAGGGCACACGGCAUGAGGGUCAGGAGUCCGGGAGCGCUGGACUGACACGUGUACCGAGGAGCAGAGCUGGCCUGCAAGCAGGAGGGACCUUCCCACCGAUGCUUCAGCUGGGCACGCUUCCAAAGCAGAGCAAUGCAUCAGCUGACGGGUUCUCACUCUGGCAACCAGCUAUGAUGCUGCCAUCAGAGAUGUCUUUAUUGAAGCAAGCAAGAGAAGCAGAUGGUCUCGCAGUCAGCAUCUCCAUAAAUGCCUUCUUCUCUGCUUUCCAACCGGGCACCGAGUGUGAUGAGGAUGGAGCAACGUCUCCUGGUGCCUCUUAGGCCAAAGCCUGGUCUUUAACAUGGUGAGAAGCAGCAGGGUGGUACCACCUCACCUCCCAAACUGGCCAGGGGACAAUGUUUGCUCUCUCAGGAAGCGCCGAGCACACAUUUUAGAGCUCAACAACUGGUGGUGAGGGAAAGAAAAAAGGGUCAAGGCUGGACGUUGAGUGGCUGAUCCAGCUGAAGGCCAUGCUACCAUGCUCUCCUGGGGUUUUGUGACAUCCCCGCUCUGCUCCCAUCCUGUGUUGGUCCCCCGUCUCCCGGCGGGGAGCAGAGUCUGUCCCAGGAGCAGACCGGGAAGCAGAGGGGAGCAUUUUCCUAAGAAGCACGGCUUGUCGGGGCAGAUCGGCCCUUGUUGCAACACGACUGGCAUGAACCCCAGGAGCUUGUGGCAGCGUCUGCUCCAGUGGUGGGGCUGGAACUGGGAC